UUAUUGCUCCCAAGAUUAAAUGUGUCCUAUCUUACAAUGGUGUGAAAGAUGACAUGAAGACUCUUCUUUUGAGAGAGUUGUAAACUGCCUUUAUUCAGGCAGCAUAUAAACUUGGGCAAAUUAAUAUAUAAAUGAAAAAUAAAGAAAAGAAAGACUUGGCAAUCCUUGUGAAAAACUAAGCAGUUAUUGUAGAGAUUACCAGGGAAGACAGAUGACUUUUAUGUAGACUUUCUCCUCCAAGACUCAAAUCCGGCUACCACAUGUGCAGUGGCAAAAUUUUGUGUCGCUGCAAUGUCCACAAGAAAAAAAUUGGUUACCGAAUUAUAGAUGUCAACUGAUGCCAACUUUUGGGAGAUAUAUAUAACAGUUAUGGGAAAAUACAUUUACUCACAUACUUGACGGUUCUCCACGCAUGUAAAUUAGGAAGCGACCCUAUUGGUUGAGAACCUGUAUUUUAAUUAUAGGAACGGUAUUAUACACGAUUGAUGUCAGUAGUAUUUCAGUUUUAAUUUACAUAACAGAUAACUGGAUUUUAUCAUAGAUUUCAUCUGUUAUGUAUUAUUUUAUUCUUGAAUUUUUAAUUGUAUAUUUAUUGAGUGUUUUUUUUAUUUGUUCUGGCCUAUGGCUGUA